rnacentral:rRNA from 1 species
CGUGUAGCCGGGCCGACAAGUCAGAUGUGAAAUCCACGGGCUUAACCCGUGAACUGCAUUUGAAACUGUUGGUCUUGAGUAUCGGAGAGGUAACCGGAAUUCCUAGUGUAGCGGUGAAAUGCGUAGAUAUUAGGAGGAACACCAGUGGCGAAGGCGGCUUACUGGACGGUAACUGACGUUGAGGCUCGAAAGCGUGGGGAGCAAACA